CGAGGAAAAGAAAUCAACCGAGAUUCCCCCAGUAGCGGCGAGCGAACGGGGAGGAGCCCAGAGCCUGAAUCAGUGUGUGUGUUAGUGGAAGCGUCUGGAAAGGCGCGCGAUACAGGGUGACAGCCCCGUACACAAAAAUGCACAUACUGUGAGCUCGAUGAGUAGGGCGGGACACGUGGUAUCCUGUCUGAAUAUGGGGGGACCAUCCUCCAAGGCUAAAUACUCCUGACUGACCGAUAGUGAACCAGUACCGUGAGGGAAAGGCGAAAAGAACCCCGGCGAGGGGAGUGAAAAAGAACCUGAAACCGUGUACGUACAAGCAGUGGGAGCCUCUUUUAUGGGGUGACUGCGUACCUUUUGUAUAAUGGGUCAGCGACUUAUAUUCUGUAGCAAGGUUAACCGAAUAGGGGAGCCGAAGGGAAACCGAGUCUUAACUGGGCGUUAAGUUGCAGGGUAUAGACCCGAAACCCGGUGAUCUAGCCAUGGGCAGGUUGAAGGUUGGGUAACACUAACUGGAGGACCGAACCGACUAAUGUUGAAAAAUUAGCGGAUGACUUGUGGCUGGGGGUGAAAGGCCAAUCAAACCGGGAGAUAGCUGGUUCUCCCCGAAAGCUAUUUAGGUAGCGCCUCGUGAACUCAUCUCCGGGGGUAGAGCACUGUUUCGGCAAGGGGGUCAUCCCGACUUACCAACCCGAUGCAAACUGCGAAUACCGGAGAAUGUUAUCACGGGAGACACACGGCGGGUGCUAACGUCCGUCGUGAAGAGGGAAACAACCCAGACCGCCAGCUAAGGUCCCAAAGUCAUGGUUAAGUGGGAAACGAUGUGGGAAGGCCCAGACAGCCAGGAUGUUGGCUUAGAAGCAGCCAUCAUUUAAAGAAAGCGUAAUAGCUCACUGGUCGAGUCGGCCUGCGCGGAAGAUGUAACGGGGCUAAACCAUGCACCGAAGCUGCGGCAGCGACACUAUGUGUUGUUGGGUAGGGGAGCGU
rnacentral:rRNA from 1 species